UAAAAGUCGUAACAAGGUUUCCGUAGGUGAACCUGCGGAAGGAUCAUU
rnacentral:rRNA from 9 species